CACUUUCAACAACGGAUCUCUUGGCUCUCGCAUCGAUGAAGAACGUAGCGAAGUGCGAUAAGUAAUGUGAAUUGCAGAAUUCCGUGAGUCAUCGAAUCUUUGAACGCAAAUGUGCACUCUCUUCGGAGAGUAUGCCUGUUUGAGGGUCAUUUUAAU
rnacentral:rRNA from 1 species